GGUUCAGUUUUAGUCUCAGCUGCAGGUUCAGUUUUAGUCUCUGUUUUAGUGAUGGCUGCCAGCUUAGUUUUAGUCUCAGCUGCAGGUUUAGUUUUAGUCUCGGCUGCAGGUUCAGUUUCAGUCUCAGCUGCAGGUUCAGUUUUAGUCUCAGCUGCAGGUUCAGUUUUAGUCUCAGCUGCAGGUUCAGUUUUAGUCUCAGCUGCAGGUUCAGUUUUAGUCUCAGCUGCAGGUUCAGUUUUAGUCUCAGCUGCAGGUUCAGUUUUAGUCUCAGCUGCAGGUUCAGUUUUAGUCUCAGCUUCAGGUUCAGUUUUAGUCUCAGCUGCAGGAAUAGUUUUUGUCUCAG